rnacentral:misc_RNA from 1 species
AGCAGCCGCGGUAAUUCCAGCUCCGAUAGCGUAUAUUAAAGUUGCUGCAGUUAAAAGCUCGUAGUUGAAUUUCGGGACUAAUAUGUCGGUCGUGCCUCGGUACGUACUGGCUUAUUGGUUUCUCCUUUCUGAAGAACCAUGAUGUCAUUUAUUUGGUGUCGUGGGGAAUCAGGACUGUUACUUUGAAAAAUUAGAGUGUUUAAAGCAGGCUUUAGCUUGAAUACAUUAGCAUGGAAUAAUGAAAUAGGACGUUCGAACCUAUUUUGUUGGUUUCUAGGAUCAACGUAAUGAUUAAUAGGGAUAGUUGGGGGCAUUAGUAUUCAAUUGUCAGAGGUGAAAUUCUUGGAUUUAUUGAAGACUAACUACUGCGAAAGCAUUUGCCAAGGAUGUUUUCAUUAAUCAAG